rnacentral:rRNA from 1 species
AACAAACGCUGGCGGCGUGCAUAACACAUGCAAGUCUAACGGGAAUGUCGGCUUCGGCUGGCUAGUACCGUGGCGAACGGGUGAGUAACACGUGGGUAAUCUGACCUCGAGUUUGGGAUAACCUUGCGAAAGCGGGGCUAAUACCGAAUAAGACCACGCUCAGUUCGCUGGGUCCGGUAAAAGGUGGCCUCUUCUUGAAAGCUAUCACUUGAGGGUGAGCCCGCGGCCUAUUAGCUAGUUGGUGGGGUAAUGGCCUACCAAGGCGACGAUGGUAGCCGGCCUGAGAGGGUGUACGGCCACACUGGCACUGAGACACGGGCCAGACUCCUACGGGAGGCAGCAGUGGGGAAUUUUGCGCAAUGGGGGAAACCCUGACGCAGCAACGCCGCGUGAGUGAUGAAGGCCUUCGGGUCGUAAAGCUCUUUUAGUGGGGAAGAAUCCCACCCGGGCUAACACCUCGGGUGUCUGACGGUACCCACAGAAAAAGUUCCGGCUAACUACGUGCCAGCAGCCGCGGUAAUAC